GCGUAUCUUGACCUAAAACCUAUCGACUCUUGCUACUCUCACUCUUCCUACACUCUCAUUCUCAGCCCCAUCGGAAAAAACUUUCUCUCUCACAAUUCACUCUCUCAGCAUCCAUCGAACCUCUCAGCCUCAUUCUUCUCUCAUUCUCAGCACCGAUCGAACCUCUCAGCACCCAUCUGGACCAUUGCUCUGAAGUAUAGAAAGUAAAAUCCCUAUUCCAAUCUUCAGUUCCCUUUUCCAAUCAUCAGCCGUGAACGAGAGCGAGUGAGACUAGAGUCGAAACCCUAGCACUCUGCCACCGAGUUUCUGCCACCGUCCGAUAUCUCGAGCUUCCGCUACACUAUUCGCGCCCUCUCUCCUUCCUCAAUCAUAACUCAGCUUUGGUUCACGCGUUCGGGGUCCUCUCCAAUUUGAAUCGAAUAUUGACAAUUCAUCGGACUGUUCUUCGACGCCAGUGAGUUCUCCGGCGCUCCUUGUGAACUAUAAAAGCCUGUAUUCGGUGAAGUGAGAAUCGUCCUAGUUAUUGUGUUCUGCGUCUUGAAAAUGAAGACAGUAGUAUUGACAAAGGAAGAGGUUCACUUGUGCAAUCGUUGAUGCUCUGAGAUAAGCAAGUGGUGCUCAAACUUAGACUACUAUUGACAAAGGUUUUGUAGAUGAAGUCCAUGUUCUUCUAGCAAAGCCUCAAACGUAUAUGAACUUGAGUGGUGUUUGUGACGGGACCUCUUGCUGCUUAUUAUAAGCUACCUCUAAACCGGGUGCUAGUGGUACUUCUCUUCUACCAUUUCGAUGUUUUAUUACUUGAGUACAUAUAAAUAAGGAUGUUCUUAAAUC